UUGAAGCACUAAUUCCCAUAUAGUCACUGAAGUUAAGCAACAUUGGGUUUGGCCAGUACUUAGAUGGGUGACUGCUUGGGAAUACCAGGUGCUGUAA